CAGUAGCCGCGGGAAUACCGAGGGUGCGAGCGUUAAUCGGAUUUACUGGGCGUAAAGCGUGCGUAGGCGGCUUCUUAAGUCGGAUGUGAAAUUCCUGAGCUUAACUUAGGAAUUGCAUUCGAUACUGGGAAGCUAGAGUAUGGGAGAGGAUGGUAGAAUUCCAGGUGUAGCGGUGAAAUGCGUAGAGAUCUGGAGGAAUACCGAUGGCGAAGGCAGCCAUCUGGCCUAAUACUGACGCUGAGGUACGAAAGCAUGGGGAGCAAACAGGAUUAGAUACCCCCGUAGUCCCUGUCUCUUAUAC
rnacentral:rRNA from 1 species